GAUGAACGCUGGCGGCGUGCUUAACACAUGCAAGUCGAACGAAGCAUUUGCGACAGAUUUUUUCGGAAUGAAGUUGCUUAUGACUGAGUGGCGGACGGGUGAGUAACGCGUGGGUAACCUGCCUUGUACUGGGGGAUAGCAGCUGGAAACGGCUGGUAAUACCGCAUAAGCGCACUAUGCUGCAUGACAUGGUGUGAAAAACUCCGGUGGUAUAAGAUGGACCCGCGUCUGAUUAGCUAGUUGGUGGGAUAACAGCCCACCAAGGCGACGAUCAGUAGCCGACCUGAGAGGGUGACCGGCCACAUUGGGACUGAGACACGGCCCAGACUCCUACGGGAGGCAGCAGUGGGGAAUAUUGCACAAUGGAGGAAACUCUGAUGCAGCGACGCCGCGUGAGUGAAGAAGUAAUUCGUUAUGUAAAGCUCUAUCAGCAGGGAAGAUAGUGACGGUACCUGACUAAGAAGCUCCGGCUAAAUACGUG
rnacentral:rRNA from 1 species